UGCGUAGGCGGCUUUUCAAGUCAGGUGUAAAAUCUCCCGGCUCAACUGGGAGGGACCAUCUGAUACUGAAAGGCUAGAGUACAGCAGAGGAGAGUGGAAUUCCCGGUGUAGUGGUGGAAUGCGUAGAUAUCGGGAGGAACACCAGUGGCGAAAGCGGCUCUCUGGGCUGUUACUGACGCUGUUGCACGAAAGCGUGGGUAGCAAACA
rnacentral:rRNA from 1 species